GCAAGUGUUGUGGCGUAGUAAUAGAAUAUCUGCACUGCAUGCAGAAGAUCCCAGGUUCAAUCCCUGGCAUCUGCA